rnacentral:rRNA from 1 species
AAAUCUUGACAUCCUCUGAUCCCUCUAGAGAUAGAGGUUUCCCCUUCGGGGGACAGAGUGACAGGUGGUGCAUGGUUGUCGUCAGCUCGUGUCGUGAGAUGUUGGGUUAAGUCCCGCAACGAGCGCAACCCUUAAGCUUAGUUGCCAUCAUUAAGUUGGGCACUCUAAGUUGACUGCCGGUGACAAACCGGAGGAAGGUGGGGAUGACGUCAAAUCAUCAUGCCCCUUAUGAUUUGGG